UCCAUUUCCCCAUAUAUCCAUUUUUAUCCACUGAUUUGCAAGAGGGCUGGGGAGUCUAAUUGAAGAGGCAAAAAAAAAAAAAAAACCUUGAAUCCUGUUUAUGUGGAGUUUAAGUAUAUACAGACUAUCAGAUAAAAGCCAAUUUUGCCAAGAGGAACUAUCGAUUCUCCAGAAAUAGAAUCAUCCAUUAGAGAAAGAAGAGUUCAAUGACUCGACAGGGUAGGGGAGCUGUGUUUCCAGAAACAAUGUGUUUGUUGAUAUUAGACCAUGUCCUGCCCCAGUCACAUGCCUAGAUGGAAAGGGAAUAUAUGUGUGAACUUAAAAGAGGUCUCUUACUAAACCCACCAACACCAUGUGGCUGAAGCCGUGGACCACUGGUUGAGGGUCACAUAUAAGUAGCUUUCUCCAUGAGGAUGGUGGUAGCAUCCAGCCUUGGACAGCUGCUGCAGUGGUUGGCAAGAAACCAUCAGCACAGAUUCUUGGAAACAGCCCUCCGAAGAUGGUGAUGUAGUGCUGAAGAUCAGUGUGCUUGAGCUAUAUCCCAUAAUAAGCGAUGCCAAGGGCUGCUGAGAGGACUCCACCUUGAAUAUCAGCAAGUUCCAUCUUGGAUUCCAGAUGUGCUAGCAAUCUAAUUAGCAUGCACUGCCAUUCUGAGAAGUACUUGCCCCUUGAAGGAAGCCCACUAAAUAUUCAUUACUCUGUUGUCUCCAUGGAACCCAUAUACGCCCUAGCCUUGCUUGCCUUUUCAAGUCAGUCUUUUGGAGAGGCGUAGUCCCCCACUGACUCGUUUGGCUUGACUCAAGCAAAAUAAAGCUUGCUGAAGAUAAA